rnacentral:rRNA from 1 species
GGGCCCGCACAAGCGGUGGAGCAUGUGGUUUAAUUCGAUGAUACGCGAGGAACCUUACCAGGGCUUAAAUGUAGUCUGACAGGGGUGGAAACACCCCCUCCUUCGGGCAGAUUACAAGGUGCUGCAUGGUUGUCGUCAGCUCGUGCCGUGAGGUGUCAGGUUAAGUCCUAUAACGAGCGCAACCCCUGCCGUUAGUUGCCAGCAUGUAAUGAUGGGAACUCUAACGGGACUGCCGGUGCAAACCGCGAGGAAGGUGGGGAUGACGUCAAAUCAUCACGGCCCUUACGUCCUGGGCUACACACGUGCUACAAUGGUAAGGACAGAGAGUUGCCAACCCGCGAGGGUGAGCUAAUCUUUAAACCUUAUCUCAGUUCGGAUUGUCGUCUGCAACUCGACGGCAUGAAGUCGGAAUC